rnacentral:rRNA from 1 species
AUUGAACGCUGGCGGCAUGCUUUACACAUGCAAGUCGAACGGUAACAGGCCGCAAGGUGCUGACGAGUGGCGAACGGGUGAGUAAUGCAUCGGAACGUGCCCAGUCGUGGGGGAUAACUACUCGAAAGAGUAGCUAAUACCGCAUACGAUCUAUGGAUGAAAGCGGGGGACCGUAAGGCCUCGCGCGAUUGGAGCGGCCGAUGUCAGAUUAGGUAGUUGGUGGGGUAAAGGCUCACCAAGCCAACGAUCUGUAGCUGGUCUGAGAGGACGACCAGCCACACUGGGAAGGAGACGCGGCCCAGCCCCCUGGGGGAGGCAGAGGGGGGGUAUUUGGAACAAGGGGCGAAAGCCUGAUCCAGCAAUGCCGCGGGAGGAAAGAGGGCGUUCGGGUUGUAAACUGUUUUGGUAGGGAACAAAACGGCUCUGGUAAAUACCGGGGGAUAAUGAGGGUACAGAAAGAAAAAGCCCCGGCAAACUACGCG